AUUGAACGCUGGCGGCAGGCCUAACACAUGCAAGUCGAGCGGCAGCGAUUAACUGAACUUCGGGGAACGUUAAGGGCGGCGAGCGGCGGACGGGUGAGUAAUGCCUGGGAAUAUGCCUGAUGUGGGGGAUAACUAUUGGAAACGAUAGCUAAUACCGCAUAAUCUCUUCGGAGCAAAGAGGGGGACUUCGGGCCUCUCGCGUCAGGAUUAGCCCAGGUGGGAUUAGCUUGUUGGUGAGGUAAUGGCUCACCAAGGCAACGAUCCCUAGCUGGUCUGAGAGGAUGAUCAGCCACACUGGAACUGAGACACGGUCCAGACUCCUACGGGAGGCAGCAGUGGGGAAUAUUGCACAAUGGGGGAAACCCUGAUGCAGCCAUGCCGCGUGUGUGAAGAAGGCCUUCGGGUUGUAAAGCACUUUCAGUAGGGAGGAAGGUAGUGUAGUUAACACCUGCACUAUUUGACGUUACCUACAGAAGAAGCACCGGCUAACUCCGUGCCAGCAGCCGCGGUAAUACGGAGGGUGCGAGCGUUAAUCGGAAUUACUGGGCGUAAAGCGCAUGCAGGCGGCCUGUUAAGUCAGAUGUGAAAGCCCGGGGCUUAACCUCGGAAUUGCAUUUGAAACUGGCAGGCUAGAGUCUUGUAGAGGGGGGUAGAAUUUCAGGUGUAGCGGUGAAAUGCGUAGAGAUCUGAAGGAAUACCAGUGGCGAAGGCGGCCCCCUGGACAAAGACUGACGCUCAGAUGCGAAAGCGUGGGGAGCAAACAGG
rnacentral:rRNA from 1 species